GGGGUCGUUAUGGAUUCGACGGGUAUGGUUCGAACUUGAACUGCAUUCCGUACUGCGAUGCGUUAAAUCGUUCAGUUUAAAUUAUAACUGCAAAAAAUAAUAACAAUUCUUACGCCUUAGCUGCCUAAACACCAGCUGACGUAGAUCCAACUAGCUUCGUCCAUGGGUUAGACCUGGGUCCUAAAUUAAGUGGACUUACGCUUGUCUGUCUCCACCUGGGGCAGGAAGAAGAGUUUAAUCAGGUUAGCUUUUCAUAUUAGCCUUGGUUAAUGGC
rnacentral:tmRNA from 1 species